GUAAGGUUUCAUAUUUCGCGCCCAAAGUCCGAGCUUACGUUUUGCACUCUGUGCACUCUACGUACACUCUUUCAAGUCCAGGAACUUUACUCAGCUGACCCAGCUCUUGAAAAUUUCCUGUUAGUACAGCGUCGAUAAUAAUUGCGCAGUAUGUACGGACAAUAUUAUAAAUAUUUUGGUCGUUGUUACAAUGUCCUCAACAAUUGUAUUAUAUUAGAAAUUUUUUGCCACAGCAUGUUGAAUAUAAAGUUUUGCUAGAGCAGCAUAUUUUUAUGUGAAAGCACUGUUAAGCCAAGCAGCACAGUCUUAUUUGACAGUAGGAACCACAAUACAAGGAAAGACAAAUAUCAUAAUGGCCAGCCACUCACACGAUAUAGUAAAUGUGCAGGAGAUAGCGGAGUUGGUUCAACUUCUUCGCCAAAAUGGUGACGAAGUUCUGAGCGCUUCUAGUAAGCUCUCUCUGUCGACGAAAUUGCUGCACAAUCUGAACGAAGCCUUCUCGCUCAUCGUAGUAGAAUCUGAAGAUCUGGAUUCUUCGUUUCACGUGUGUAACAGCUCCAAAAUAGAUAUAUUUCGCGACGUGAAGUUUCUACAUGAUUUUGUGCAAAAGACUAUUGGUUUAAAAGUGACGCAUUGUCCUUCCGACACCAAAGUUGCCAUCGACAUCUCCAAGUUUAGGCACCUGAAGUAUUUGGAGUUGAAGAAGGUGUCUGUCGAAUUAUUAAAAGGUCUGCAGAGUGUUAGGGGCCAGUUAGAAAGUAUUAUGUGUACUGGUAGCAAAGGAGUCUCCACGAUCAAUCAGUUGUUAGUCACAUGCGGUGGUGACGCUGGCGCUGGAUUUGUAUGGGCAUCUCUAAAACACUUGGUACUGUCUCACAAUGCCCUUGAGUGUUUGGAUGAGUCAUUGGAAUUAGCGCCUUGGCUUCAGACGUUGGACUUGAGUCAUAAUAUGAUUGCUAACGCCAAGGAGAUAUCUCGCUUAUCAAACUUGAAGUAUGUCAAUCUAGGCUACAACAAACUGGAGGAAGUACCCAUGUUUAAUAAAACAGCAUUGCAUUCGUUGCAAGUAUUGGUGUUGAAAAACAAUUACAUCGAUAAUUUAAAUGGUCUUCAAGGUUUAGAAUGUCUAACAGAAUUAGACUUAUCAUAUAAUUGUUUAAUGGACCAUUCAGUUCUAUGGCCACUUGAGAAAAUGUCUACUCUAUUGUGGGUAUCCUUGGAAGGAAAUCCCUUAUCAUAUCAUUCGAAACAUCGAAUGUUAUGUACAAAACAUUUACAUUCGAGUUUAUCGAACAGCAAGUUUGUUCUAGAUCAUUUGCCGCUUUCAAGAUCAGAAAAGAUGCUGAUUGCGGAAAAUCAAGUUUUCACGAUACGUACAGAUCGAUCCGCAUCUCUAACCAGCUCGAUAUCUACCUGCGUGGAUAUGUAUGAUAGCCGUGAAAGUGAGGUGGAUCAACAAACAGCAUUAAGCAACAGUCUGGAAAAGAGCAUAACAAAAAGCAAAAAAAAGUCAAACGUGAGAGAAGCUAUUAUCGCCGAAAUUGAUCAAGAAAAGGAAGAGCUCAAAAUACUACCUGAUGUAGUAGCGUCAUCUCAUUUGGAGUCACCAAAAGAUUAUUUGGAGACGAAGAAACGCAUCUUAGCCUUACGAGAGAAGUAUGGAGAGGAUAAUUGGUUAAGGAGUCACGCUGGAACUUCCGUCCAGGAUAUUAUGGGUCUGCAGUCUGCCUCGCAACCGACAUCCAAUAUACAGACUUUGGCUGACAUUAAUGUAGCAUCAUCUUUUUACGAUACCCUGAUUUACACAAUGGGCAACGAACAACUCACCGGCGAGACUGAGUCGCAAGAAGUCGCAGAACAGCCGGAAAAUAUUCUUCAGGAUGAAGAAAGUUUACUGGAUGAACCUGUGGAAACAAACACGGCUUCUUCCGUGACUACGUUUGAUGAUUUGAAUGAAGAGGCUGGAGAUUUAUAUACCGUUCAAAAAAGAAAAAACGAGAGCGAGAUGGAGGAUGUUUUCCUGAUAAUAACUGCUGAAGAAAUCAAGGAAAGAGACAUAAUUACUGGAAAAUUAAAAUACAGUUGGUCGAUGAAUUCCGUACUGUCCUGCGUCCUAGGUAGGAGCGAUCCACCCACAGUCGAUAUUAUCUUUGACACAACUAGGAAAGAUAGGGAGAACAGGCGAUAUUUCGCCGAACCAGAAGAUGCGAAGAAAGUCGUGGCAACGAUCAACGAACGGAUCGAGAUGCGACCGAUUCUAUUGAAGGUUUUCAAGUGCAUGAAAUGUUCGACACAGUUUUCGCAGGAUGCGGACUACGUGAUGCUCACUGUCAAGUCGCUGGCAGGCGCAAAACAGCUCAAAUGUCCCACUUGUGACAGCAGUUUGGUCAUCGAGAUAGAGACUUCACCUAACGUGGAUAAUCAGACCGUAAAGAGUUCUCAGCCAGCGGAGAAUGCCGCCAAGAUCAACCUGCAACAUUCUGAAUCAUUCUCCAGUAUCGGUGGAAUGGAGGGUGGAGCUAAAUCCGUCACCACUUCUCUGGUGCACUCCGACUCUCACACCCAAGCUCAAGUCUGCUGUUCAGCGACGAGUUUAGAAGAAUCGAGGGAGUCCACGCCGUCUGCAAAUGCCACGACGAAAAAAUAUGAGAGCGACAUAGAAAUACUCAGUAACCCAAGUCAAAGCAGCAUCGAGGUUUUAGAUGAAACGCAAAAAGCGAACAAUACACCAAGUCGAAAGCGCUCAACGGAAGAGAAACGUACCGCAAUUGCCCCUUCUUUAAUAACAAUUCCGGAUGCAACACCAAUGAUGGCAGGCUUGACGGAAAGUAGUUCUUCGGGUUCAUUGACAGAUAGCAUAUGUACGACAUAUGAAAAUAAAAUGACCAAAUCUAUGAACAUUGAUGCAAAAUCUCAUAAUAGCGAAGACGAAAGAGAGACUACACUCGCUUCUGCGACAAAUCUGACGUCGAUGUUAGGAGGUUUACUUCAGAGCAUCAAGAUUGGUAGUAACAAAACUUUGAAGGGGGAGGAGGCAUCGAACUUUGUACCCUCUGGAAGCUAUGUGCAAUAUUCAUAUACCGAUUUUAGCAGUGUAGAUCAUAGAAUUAAGCUGCAUAUCAUCCUGAAUGUAUUCGAGCACGAAAACGAGGAGCUAGUCCUUCUUCUCAGGGCGGAGAUCCUGAUGCAAUCUAUGCAAGAGACAUUUCCUGGAUGCUUAGUAUUAUCCACAUCCAAGGUUUAUGUUCUUAGAAUUGACGGACCGGAAGGGGAGGACCCACAGCGCUGGCUUCAUAAAGAGGUCAGCUGGACGAUGGACAGACUGAGAUCUUUCGUAGCGUUGCCAUUCAAGCAGGGCGUUUUGAUUGAGCUGCAACAGCCUGGCAAAAUCGGCGAAGAGCACCUCACUAUCACGUUGCUCUGUAUUUUGCAGGAUUUCCAGCGAACGUCGAACUUUUUAUUUUAUAUUACAGAUUUACAAUUGCCUCCGAGUUGCGAGGUGGAGUUCUCCAUACCAGAACACUGUAGCGCCUUGAUGCACAAUCUGUUAAUGAGUACUGCCAAUUAUCAGGCCGAAGACUCCGUGCGAUUGCUAGCAAUGUUUUCUUCCGCGGUCUUGAAAUAUCAGAAUAUCACCACUAAGCUGAAAUUAUCUGGCUUGGUAUUAACGAGUUCGGCGCUGGUGAUACUGGAAGACAACGUUCAAUGGUUUAUACCAGGCAGCAAUCGCGUACCUCUAGCCGCUAGAGAACAAGCUAUGAGCAAUUUAAUUGCGAUAGAACACUGUGACACUUCGUUGACUUUGAAUUUUUUGGAUGAGGUUGCGGGCCUCGAGGAGACUUGGAUCCUGGAAUUCAUAUCUCCUGGUGCUGUUGAAGCUGUAAUCAAUUCUAUACAGCCUCCAUGGGAAGCGUUAUUCUCAAUACCCUUGCAGGUUGAACUCUUGAAGAAUUGAAGAGAAUACACUUACAAGAGUUUUAUUCAAAAGGCCAGUCUAGCGGAUAUUUGGGAAUUUUCUUCCUUCUUGCUGACUUUUUAGCCAAAUGAUAUUAUCUGCAAUGCAAUCCCUUUUGCGCUCGCGCGAAUUAAAACUUUCAAGUCUGUGUAGUAGUUACACUUAAUCACUUCUGAUGAUAGACGUCCAACUGUGAUAUGUAUAUCGAAUUUUACAAUAAAUAUUGCGAGACUCAGAUAUUUACUGUAGAUAUUUAUAUGGAGAAUAUUGUAAUUUAUAUUUUGUAAUAAAGCGUGAUGUAAAUAUAACUAUGUUA
rnacentral:misc_RNA from 1 species